GCGUGAGUGAUGAAGGCCUUAGGGUUGUAAAGCUCUUUUACCCGGGAUGAUAAUGACAGUACCGGGAGAAUAAGCUCCGGCUAACUCCGUGCCAGCAGCCGCGGUAAUACGGAGGGAGCUAGCGUUGUUCGGAAUUACUGGGCGUAAAGCGCGCGUAGGCGGCUUUGUAAGUUAGAGGUGAAAGCCCGGGGCUCAACCCCGGAACUGCCUUUAAGACUGCAGAGCUAGAGUCUUGGAGAGGUGAGUGGAAUUCCGAGUGUAGAGGUGAAAUUCGU
rnacentral:rRNA from 1 species